ACCAACCAAGAGAAAAGGCGGAUGGCUCAAUUCAAUAUGGAAAAUUGCACAAUAAAAGUUCCAGGACAUGAAGGCUGCAUACUGUGAACGUCAACCUUCAGGGCACCGUCCUGCGCAGAAGACUUUCUACCCUAAGAGGGAUGGCUGACCGCAGACACUCACAACCAGCACAGACGCCUCCAACCUCAGACUAGGCCCUUCACAGUUGCUGCACUUACCCACCUUCCCAGAGUUUUUGUGUGGUAAUGACAACUGUAAAUAUAGUAUAUAGUAAUGUAUCUAGUGUUUUGUGUAAUACAUUGUUUAAAUUGUCC